rnacentral:lncRNA from 1 species
UAAAGAUAACAGUGAAAGAAACUAAUUCGAUUUUAUUGAUUCUACAUAUUGGCCUAUAUAAGCCUUAUCAGUACUCCACAUUUAAAUAGUUCAUACAUGAACAAGAAAAUCAUGACAAAAAGGUAGAAAAAGAACAAAUACAAUCCGGUAACGUAGAUAAUUAUUUGGAUAACAAAAUGAAAACUAGAAGUGUGGAAGUACUUUUAUUCUCCAGAAAGAAAACUCCGUUAAGUGCCGCGUCGUCUUUUGCCACAAAUCUGCCUUGACAUGGGCAUGGAAUAGACAGUGCCCAUGGGAAAACCCUUUAAACCAAUUAAAAUAAAUAUUAGUAUUCAGUUUUCCAAUUAAUUAUAUGCAUUUCAUAAUGUAAUGAAGAAAUUUAUCAAUUAAAUUAUGUGUAAUAAUUUUUCUAUUAUGUCAUACCAAAGUAUUAAUAAAAAAAAUAAUUAGGAAAAAAAUACAAAUCAAAGCUUGAAUUUUAAAGCAAACACAUUUUAAAGAAUUUUUUUGAGUGUAGAAUCUACAGUUAUGUUUGUUUGUAAGAAUUAUACUUAAGAUUGGACUAUUAAUUAAUCUCAAGUCUCUUAUAUAUUUAUUUUUAAAAAUAGACUUGACACUAUUAGUCUGGGAGAAUAAAAUGAUUUGAAAGGAGGGAUUAUUUAAUAUCACCUCCAACUAGAUAUUAUAAUCCCUACCAUUUAGGGCUAAAUAUUUGUAGACAAAAUUAACUUUUAACUUUGUUUAAAAAGACCAAUGUAUCUUAUACUAUCUAUCUAUACUUAAACUAAUGAGAAUAUAAUAUCUUUGUUAUUAGUAGUAAUGGUAUGAUAGUCCAAACGGUAAGUUUUUAUCCAUUAAUCCUUUAAAUAAUUCUGGACAAAACAAACAUACCAUGAAAUUAUUUUAAGUUAUCACAUGAAUAAUCUCAUAAAAAAUAAACAUGUGACUAGGACUAUUUAAUCAUAGAAUUAUUAAUCUUGUAAUUAUAAUCUAUGAAAAUAUAUUUCCGAUAUUAUAAUUCUUGCAAACAUACAUAUCACAAGGAAAUGAAAACCAAAGCAUAUUAUAAAACAUAAAAAAAUAAAGAACGGAUUUAUUUUGCGUUUUAUCUUUUUCUUUUUUCACUAUAUAUUCUACUACUUCUUACCGUGAGUUAUUAUAAUAUUCAGCAUUAGCUACAAAUUAUAGCUACGGACACAAUAUUUUACUCUCUGUCUCAAAAAAAUGAGCAAAAUAUAAUUUAUAUGCAUAUUAAAAAAAAGUAAAAAUAUAUAAAAAGAGUAAAUUAAAAAAGUUUUAAAUUUAUCUAAUUAGUGACUUCACAAAAUUAUAUAAAGUGAUGUGUAAUUUUUUUUUUAUAUUAAUGAACCUAACUAAAUGACUUAGUUACCCAUCACAUCUUUAAUCAUCCAAGAAGGAUAGAGUAGUGAAGAAUAACCAUUAACUUGAUAUUAUAGAAAAAACAAUAUGAGAAACCCUCAACCCUAGUAACAAAUGUAUGAGAAAUAUUAUUGACUAUAUUCUAAAUUAUUGACUUGACCUUUACGUAUGACACUACAAAUUCACAAUGUUAGGGAUGUUUUAGUAAUUUAGAAUUAACAUUUAGACAUAACACAACAAAUUAUUAAUUAAACACGCUAGUUUACAUAAAUGUAAGUUAAUAAAUAAAGUACAAAAUACCUAAUUUUAGUAAUAAUUAAAAAGUUCGACAUAGUGUGUCAAAAAUAAGAUUUUAAUAGUCAACAUAAUGCGACAAAACGAUGAUUUUAAUGUUCGCAUAGUGCGACAAAACGAUAAUUUUAAUGUUUAACGUAGUGUUACAAAACGAAAAAUUUUAACGUUCGCAUAGUACGACAAAACGAAUAUUUUAAUGUUCAUCAUAGAUUUUAAUGUUUACAUAAUAAUGCGACAAAAAGAAGAUUUUAAUGUUUAGGAUAAUGCAACAAAAUGAAGAUGUAUAGUGAAACCAAAUGAAGAUCAUAAUGUUCGACAUGGUGCGACAAAAUGAAGAUCAUAACGUUCGUUAUAUAAGUGGGACAAACUGAAGAUCCUAAAGAUCCUAAUCUUUGUUAAAUAUAGAAGUGCGACAAAAUGAAGAUUAUAUAGUUUCUUAUAGAUUUUUACGAAACAAAAUUUAACAUAUACUAGCACUUGGUGGCGCAAACGUUAUGUGUGUAAAUUAUGUGGAAUAAGAUAUGAAUUUUAUAAAAUUUGAAUAACCAAGUAAAAAAAUAAAAAAGAAAUAAUAUAAAAAUGACAAAAUAAGAAUUACUUUAAAAGUUGAAGGACAUUUGACUUCAAAAAUUUGUUAACACCAACCCCCCUCCUCCUCUAUAUAUUAGAUAUUAGUAGGAUAUAAAUUUAUUUAUUGAUCAGCGGUGAGUAUAUAAAUUUAUACCAGCAGUUUGUCCACAGUUUGAUGGACUCCAUAGGUUCUAAACAUUUCGUCGAUCCUCUCCUACAAAAAUGACAUCAUUA